GCCGAGUUGGAUAACAUCAGCUUGUAACUCGAGUGGAGGCAUUAAUGUGGUGGAACAUGGUUCAGGAUUCAUUGGGUUUGGCUUGAGGAUGCAAUUUCUGGCGUGCCCACUCCAAGUUGAGAGUUGAUUAACGGAGCCUGAGCGAAAGCCCAAUUUCAUUGGUUCUAGACAGAAGAGCACCGCGUGAGGCUGGCUUAAUAGAGUUAUUAGACUAUUAUGUGAAUAUCUCUAUAUUUACGAAUAUCAUUAUUGUAAAUUAAGUGUAAAUUUUUGGCUCCCAACAAUGGAGGGAUUACAGGCCGUCACACUUCUGGUCUAAUAUGCCUAGUGAGCCUAGCUACUUGAACCACCAGUUUA
rnacentral:SRP_RNA from 2 species